AUACUUACCUGGCAGAUUUAAUUCCAUGAUCACGAAGGUGGUUUCCCCAGGGUGAGGCUCGCCCAUUGCACUGUAGGUGUGUUGACUUCUGCGGUUACCCCAAAUGUGGGAAACUCGACAGUGUAAUUUAUGGUAGUGGGGAGCUGUGUGUGCGUUAUCCCCU